rnacentral:tRNA from 1 species
GGGACUGUGGCUCAGUGGUAAAGUGCUUGCCUCCAAUGUAUGAGACACUGGGUUCGAUCCUCAGCACCA